GAUGAACGCUGGCGGCGUGCCUAAUACAUGCAAGUCGAGCGAACAGACGAGGAGCUUGCUCCUCUGACGUUAGCGGCGGACGGGUGAGUAACACGUGGAUAACCUACCUAUAAGACUGGGAUAACUUCGGGAAACCGGAGCUAAUACCGGAUAAUAUAUUGAACCGCAUGGUUCAAUAGUGAAAGACGGUUUUGCUGUCACUUAUAGAUGGAUCCGCGCCGCAUUAGCUAGUUGGUAAGGUAACGGCUUACCAAGGCAACGAUGCGUAGCCGACCUGCGAGGGUGAUCGGCCACCCUGGAACUGAGACACGCUCCAGGCUCCUACGGGAGGCAGCAGUAGGGAAUCUUCCGCAAUGGGCGAAAGCUUGACGGAGCAACGCCGCGUGAGUGAUGAAGGUCUUCGGAUCGUAAAACUCUGUUAUUAGGGAAGAACAAAUGUGUAAGUAACUAUGCACGUCUUGACGGUACCUAAUCAGAAAGCCACGGCUAACUACGUG
rnacentral:rRNA from 1 species